GGGAGGAGGAAGGAAAGGCCGAAGAAGCAGGCGCCCGUCUGCCCGCUUGAAGGAGCGCUUCCGCGCUUUCCCUCUCGGGCUCUGCUCCCGGGAGGGCCCGCCGCGCUUUGCUUUCUCCCUGCUGGGCCGCCAGGGGGAGCCGCGCCGGCGGGCUCUGGGACCGCGGAGGGAGGCGGGGCCCCGGGGCGGGAGCGGCGGCGCGGCGCCCACAAGCUGGCGCCCCCUGAGGGCAGGGCUGCCCUCUCCGUCCCCCCCGGCUCCGCGGACUCCGGGCCCGGGAAGUGGGAGGCGCUCUGGCAGACCCGCUCCGGCCUGGCUGCGCCCGCAGCCCGGGAUCCGGUUAGAGACGGAGAGGCGGCCCCGCUUAGGGUUCCCAAGCAGCCCCAGGGCCACGAUUCCCGCCGCUGAGGUCCUUGCGACGGGAAACCAAAGUCCAAAAAGUCGCUUUCGGGUUUGCCCCGCGGCUUCGCGGGUACAUCUCCCGCCCUCCUCGUCUCCCGCCCACCACACGAGGUUUGCCUCCUUCCCACGCCCCUGGCCUUCACUUUCCUCCAAUAAGCGUCGGGCCCAAAGCCCCUCAGACCGACGUGAAGCGGCUAUCGACCAGACAGGGGAGAGACUCGCGCUGCAGAAAGUGGCCGCGGUGGGGCGCGAUUGCAUAAGGAAAGGAAGCCCGCACGACGGCCCCAUUUCUACUCGCAACCACUUGUUAAAUAACAGAAAGCGGCCAUAAAAUACCGCCGAGGAGCACGAGUCCUCAUUUAUCCUUCCUAGUCCGUGUGGGCCCUUCCGGUGGAUGGAGCCCCGGAUAAAUGAGGUGUUCUUACGCCUGGGCGCUGUGUGCCCCGCAAAGGGCUUUCAUCAUCUCCUUUCAAGGGCUGCGGACCUACAAUUGCAAUGCGGCUUUUCCUUCUAGCAUGAAUACGGACAAAAGCCCUUAUUCUAAAUAGGGGUCUGCAGGCUCCGACCGACUGCCAGAGGGGUUCGUGAUCAACAGAAAAGUUUAAGAACCCCCAGGUCUAAACGUAUUUGAACUUGGAGAAAGUAAAUGUCCACUUCCAUUUCUUUUUCUCCUCUCUUCUUCCGUUCUUCA
rnacentral:lncRNA from 1 species